UACGGGGGGGGCAAGCGUUGUUCGGAAUUACUGGGCGUAAAGGGCUCGUAGGCGGCCAACUAAGUCAGACGUGAAAUCCCUCAGCUUAACUGGGGAACUGCGUCUGAUACUGGAUGGCUUGAGAUUGGGAGAGGGAUGCGGAAUUCCAGGUGUAGCGGUGAAAUGCGUAGAUAUCUGGAGGAACACCGGUGGCGAAGGCGGCAUCCUGGACCAACACUGACGCUGAGGCACGAAAGCGUGGGGAGCAAACAGG
rnacentral:rRNA from 1 species